AGGCAAAUCCCAGAAAUAACGUCCCAGUUCGGAUUGCAGUCUGCAACUCGACUGCAUGAAGCUGGAAUCGCUAGUAAUCGCGAAUCAGCAUGUCGCGGUGAAUACGUUCCCGGGUCUUGUACACACCGCCCGUCACACCAUGGGAGUCGGGAAUGCCCGAAGUCAGUGGCCCAACCGGAAGGGGGGAGCUGCCGAAGGCAGGCCCGGUGACUGGGGUGAAGUCGUAACAAGGUAAC
rnacentral:rRNA from 1 species